rnacentral:rRNA from 1 species
UAUUAUUUUAAUUUUAAAUAUAAGGUCUGGGUAGUAAUAGUUAAGUGCUUGAAACUCAAAGAAUUUGGCGGUGUUUCAGUCUUUUCAGAGGAAUCUGUCCUGUAAUCGUUAAUACACGUUAAAUGUCACUUGUUAUUGUAAAAUCAGCUUGUAUACCGCCGUCAUAAGGGUAUCUUUUUAGGGUGUAAUUUUCUGGAUAUUAAGGAAAUAAUAUGUCAGGUCAAGGUGCAGUUUAUUAACAAGAAGAGAUGGAUUACAAUAAAUUUAUUUAUACGGAAUUUAUAAUGAAAGUUAUAAAGGAAGGUGGAUUUGAAAGUAAUAUCAUUAGAUUAUGAUAAUAUGACUCAAGCGCUGAAACAUGUACACAUCGCCCGUCACUCUCAUUAUUAAGAUGAG